GAUGAACGCUGGCGGCGUGCCUAAUACAUGCAAGUCGAGCGAACGGACGAGAAGCUUGCUUCUCUGAUGUUAGCGGCGGACGGGUGAGUAACACGUGGAUAACCUACCUAUAAGACUGGGAUAACUUCGGGAAACCGGAGCUAAUACCGGAUGAUAUUUUGAACCGCAUGGUUCAAAAGUGAAAGACGGUCUUGCUGUCACUUAUAGAUGGAUCCGCGCUGCAUUAGCUAGUUGGUAAGGUAACGGCUUACCAAGGCAACGAUGCAUAGCCGACCUGAGAGGGUGAUCGGCCACACGGGAACUGAGACACGGUCCAGACUCCUACGGGAGGCAGCAGUAGGGAAUCUUCCGCAAUGGGCGAAAGCCUUACGGAGCAACGCCGCGUGAGUGAUGAAGGUCUUCGGAUCGUAAAACUCUGUUAUUAGGUAAGAACAUAUGUGUAAGUAACUGUGCACAUCUUGACGGUACCUAAUCAGAAAGCCACGGCUAACUACGUG
rnacentral:rRNA from 1 species